rnacentral:rRNA from 1 species
UACGUAGGUCCCGAGCGUUGUCCGGAUUUAUUGGGCGUAAAGCGAGCGCAGGUGGUUUAUUAAGUCUGGUGUAAAAGGCAGUGGCUCAACCAUUGUAUGCAUUGGAAACUGGUAGACUUGAGUGCAGGAGAGGAGAGUGGAAUUCCAUGUGUAGCGGUGAAAUGCGUAGAUAUUAGGAGGAACACCAGUGGCGAAGGCGGCCUGCUGGACGGUGACUGACGCUGAGGCUCGAAAGCGUGGGGAGCAAACAGG